CAAAAAUUAACAUAAUUAAUGUGUCUCACUUACGUUGAGGAUAUAUUCAAAUUAAUUUGAAUAUUUUUGA
rnacentral:tRNA from 1 species